rnacentral:lncRNA from 1 species
CCAUCCCUCUGAGAGGUGGAAAAGGGGUCCUGGGCCCGGCAGCCAUGGCCAUCCCUUCAUUUCCCUCCUUGUGCAGGGGGAGCGAGGCGUCCCAGGCCGAAAAGGUGUGAAGGGCCAGAAGGGCGAGCCGGGACCGCCGGGCCUGGACCAGCCAUGUCCUGUGGGCCCCGAUGGGCUGCCCGUGCCUGGCUGCUGGCAUCAGUGACCCCUGCACCCAGCUCACAGCCUGUACAGAUGCGUGUGGACGUUUUUAAUUUUUGUAAAAAAACAAAAACAAAAAACAG